rnacentral:lncRNA from 10 species
GUAAAUGUGAAAACCAAAGGGAUGGAGUGAGAAUAUAGAGUGAGAGGGAGUGGGGGGCUCUUAAGUCCGUUUGUUCUGGGCUUGAAUCCCACCUGUGGAAUUUACAUAUAGCAUGUGACCCUCAGCCUCAGCUUACACUCUCUAAAAUGGGGGUGGUAGGCUCUGUCUCGCAGGGUUAUGAAGAAUCAAGGAAACGGUGUUUGCACGAGAGCUAGCAGUGGCAGAACACAGAAUGCCGUCUUCAAACUCAAAGAGGCUCCAAAAAUAAGGAUCUGAAUAGGAUAGUGAGGGGCCUAGAAAUGCCCUGUGAGGAAAGGAGUAAGAGACCCAGUCUCUGAAGAGUGGCCACAGAGGAGGGAGGACUGACGUGAAGCCAUCUGAAGAGUGGCCACGGAGGAGGGAGAACCGACAUGAAGCCAUCUGAAGAGUGGCCACGGAGGAGGGAGGACCGACAUGAAGCCAUCUGAAGAGUGGCCACGGAGGAGGGAGGACCGACAUGAAGCCAUCUGAAGAGUGGCCACGGAGGAGGGAGGACCGACGUGAAUCCAUCUGAAGAGUGGCCACGGAGGAGGGAGGACCGACGUGAAUCCAUCUGAAGAGAGGCCACGGAGGAGGGAGGACCGACAUGAAGCCAUCUGAAGAGUGGCCACGGAGGAGGGAGGACCGACGUGAAUCCAUCUGAAGAGUGGCCACGGAGGAGGGAGGACCGAUGUGAAUCCAUCUGAAGAGAGGCCACGGAGGAGGGAGGACCGACAUGAAUCCAUGUGAAGAGUGGCCACGGAGGAGGGAGAACCGACAUGAAGCCAUCUGAAGAGUGGCCACGGAGGAGGGAGGACCGACAUGAAGCCAUCUGAAGAGUGGCCACGGAGGAGGGAGGACCGACAUGAAUCCAUGUGAAGAGUGGCCACGGAGGAGGGAGGACCGACAUGAAGCCAUCUGAAGAGUGGCCACGGAGGAGGGAGGACCGACGUGAAUCCAUCUGAAGAGAGGCCACCGAGGAGGGAGGACCGACAUGAAGCCAUCUGAAGAGUGGCCACGGAGGAGGGAGGACCGACGUGAAUCCAUCUGAAGAGAGGCCACCGAGGAGGGAGGACCGACAUGAAGCCAUCUGAAGAGUGGCCACGGAGGAGGGAGGACCGACAUGAAGCCAUCUGAAGAGUGGCCACGGAGGAGGGAGGACCGACAUGAAUCCAUGUGAAGAGUGGCCACGGAGGAGGGAGGACCGACAUGAAGCCAUCUGAAGAGUGGCCACGGAGGAGGGAGGACCGACAUGAAGCCAUCUGAAGAGUGGCCACGGAGGAGGGAGGACCGACGUGAAUCCAUGUGAAGAGUGGCCACGGAGGAGGGAGGACCGACGUGAAGCUAUCUGAAGAGUGGCCACGGAGGAGGGAGGACCGACGUGAAGCCAUCUGAAGAGUGGCCACCGAGGAGGGAGGACCGACGUGAAGCCAUCUGAAGAGUGGCCACGGAGGAGGGAGGACCGACAUGAAUCCAUGUGAAGAGUGGCCACUGAGGAGGGAGGACCGACAUGAAUCCAUGUGAAGAGUGGCCACUGAGGAGGGAGGACCGACGUGAAGCCAUCUGAAGAGUGGCCACGGAGGAGGGAGGACUGACGUGAAUCCAUCUGAAGAGUGGCCACGGAGGAGGGAGGACUGACGUGAAUCCAUCUGAAGAGUGGCCACGGAGGAGGGAGGACUGACGUGAAUCCAUCUGAAGAGUGGCCACGGAGGAGGGAGAACCGACAUGAAGCCAUCUGAAGAGUGGCCACGGAGGAGGGAGGACCGACAUGAAGCCAUCUGAAGAGUGGCCACGGAGGAGGGAGGACCGACAUGAAGCCAUCUGAAGAGUGGCCACGGAGGAGGGAGGACUGACGUGAAUCCAUCUGAAGAGUGACCAUGGAGCAGGGAGGACCGAUGUGAAGCCAUCUGAAGAGUGACCAUGGAGGAGGGAGGACUGACGUGAAUCCAGCAUGUGAGCCCGGGAGAUGGCACAUCCAGAACCAGUGGGUGCAAGGCCCAGGGCAGCCGAAGUCUUCUCCACCUAAGGGGUUUCGGCAGAGUUGUCUAAAACUCAAUACUCCGCCUUACUACAGACCGUGUUCCCCACCAGAAGAACUGAGCUCACUUACGCAGUCAACAAAUACCACCUAUGGGCUGUCCCCACUUGGAUGUUGGCUGGGCUCCACAACUUCAUAGGUCCUGAACAAGAUGCUUGAUUUCCCUCUUCGAACCUGUCUUCCUCACUGCAGUCUGUGCUACGACCAUCCACUCCAUAGCGGAAGCCCAAACCCGCUAGUAGCCUCAAUUUCUUCCCUCGCCUCGUAUCACACCCCUCCCAUCCCAUUCAUGAACAAACUCUAUAGAUUCUCUCUCCAGAUAUGUCUCACAUCCCUCCACUUCUUUUGUCUCUGCAGCCCUCAGUGCAAGCGCCUGCCCCCUCCCACCUGGCUUCCUGCAGGAACCACCCAGCUUGCCUCCUUGCUUCCUGUCUCACUCCACCUAGUCC